GAGUGCAGUCUUACAACAUUUGCCUGGGGCAGGAGACAGAGAAAGAAAAAAACAGUGGAUUUCCUCCUCUCUCUCCAUUCCUCAGGGGCCCCUUUCCUGGUCUUGUGACCAUAGAGGGAUGGUUUCUCCUGGGCACUUCUCCCUAUAUGCCUGCUGAGCAGUUCUGGGAUUUGGGUGUCCUGAGUCUAAGCUGGGAGAUGUGGGAGGAAAGAAAAGCUGGUGAACUCAUUGCCACCUCCAUGUUUCUCUGAAUGUUAUCUCUCUCUCCAUCUGCUUGCCGUGGUUUUCUUUCUAGACACCUCUGAUGAUUGCUGCAUGUAUUCUGCCCAGGGUUUUUGGCUGUGAUCACUGGGAGAGAUAGAAGGGACUGUAUUUGCUCCAUCUUACCCAGCUCUGCAAACCUGCUGGAGAGUUUAAUUGGCAUAUGACUUCUAUCCUCAAAGUCACAAGAUGGCUGCUGGAGUUCCAGUCAGGAUGUCUGUACAGAACAUCUGUCCAGUCCCUGGGAUGGUGAGGCUAUAACCACAAAGGAAUAAGAGAAGACGACUAGUUUUGUAAUGGCUUUGAAUGAUGCAUUGGCCCACGUGGACCACCUUCCAUUUCCCAAGACUUUUUGAAGGCAAUGAAUGAGAAGAAAGCAGAGAAAACAGUGGGCGUGAGGUCAGAUGACUCAGGCUUGAGUACUGAUCACAUCAAGGAUUGGACGCACUGCUCUUAGGAAGGCACAACUUCUACUACUUUCAGUCUUAUCAACUGUGAGAGUGUACCCUUGCUGUAGAUGCCACCCGCCCAGCAGUCCUCAUCAUCUUGGCCCAGGAUCACCUGAAACAGAUGAUCCUCCUUUUGAGCUACCAUCAGAAGGUCCACAGUACUAGCCCAGCGCUACAUCCCAAUGCCUACGCCAUUCAUCUCACCUCAUCUCAUCACGUAGACAUUUCAUCAUGUCACAUCAUCACAAGAAGGGAAUCUAUUCACAAAUAAGGUUUUGUGGAUUCAACAGCUUUACUGAAGAUAUGUAGAUUGUUGUUAGCGCUUCCUACCUUGCACAGCCUCUUGUCCCGUCACUGGCCCCAUGCAUCUUCCUCUGCUGCCUUCAAGAAGCUCCAGAUCCUGCCACAGACGUGCUCCACUCAGAGGACUGGAGUCCAAUCCCCUGACAGUGCUUUUCUCUUUGGGAAGCACCCCCUCCCCCACUGCCAUUAAACCUCUGGAA
rnacentral:lncRNA from 10 species